rnacentral:lncRNA from 1 species
UAGCGGUGGGAUAAAUCGUCUUGCACGUUCCGCAUUCAACCAAAACAGAAUCUGAACUUCGUUUCAAAGAGAAGACAUAUUCUGAAGCGUCAAUGUCAAAUGAUCGGCAGCGAGGCGAGCACAGAAGCAAAUGCAUGGACAAACGAAGCGGCCCGGGCCUUUUCUUAUUCACAACUCGGUACUAAACCGAUCGAUCGGACGAACACGAGCAGUAGUACAACAGUAGAAACAUCACACACACACUGACACGCACGAACACACACACACACUCGCUCGUGUAGACACGUACGAAGGCGCUAGCACACAUAGAUCAGGUAGUAGACGACGCGGCGCGGCGGACUGACAUCGGCCUGCUAGCUCCAGCUUACGACGACGCCCUGGUGCCGGUGCCGGUGCCGGCGCCCGCUCCGCCGGUGGCGCCGGUGUGGCCACCUCCUCCGGCGCGCGCGUCCUCCGCGCGGCUCUGGAUGGCGUGGCCGGCCUGCUGCGUCUUGUGCCCCGCGGCCGCGGCGGCAUCGGCCAUGCGCUGGCGCGCCUCCUCCACGUAGUCCGGGGUGCGCUGGAACGCCUGGCGCGCCGUGUUGGCGAGGACGGUGAGCGAGGAGAGGCCGCCCAGCCCCAGCGCGCCGGAGGUGAGGAACCCGGUGACGGCCAGGCCGAUGGUGAGCGCGGCCGGGACCAGCAUGGGGCUGAAGAGCAGGAACACGGGCGUGGCCACGGCCAGCCCCACCACGGUGCCCGCCAGCGCCAGCCCGGACAGCACCAGCAGCAGCCCGCCCAGCGGGAACAGCGUCGCCACCGUCAGCGCCUGCGACGCCGACGGCGCCUUCUCCUGGAACAUGCCCUUCAUCUGCUCGCCCAUCUGGCGCCCGUGCUGCUGCUGCCCGCCGUGGUGCCCGCCGCCGUACUGCCCGUGCUGCACCUGCACGUAGCCCCCGCGGUCCGCCAUUGCUCCUCCCUCGCUUCGCUGCGUCCGCCGGCGGUGAAGUGAGCCAAGAUCUGUCGAACUCGAGAGCUGGAGGGGACUGAACUCUGAAGUGAAGUGGGUUGAG